UUCUCUUUCUUUCUCCUGAGCACCUUUUCCAGGAGCUACUCUUAUUACUGUUGAAGAGGGACGGUCACUCUAAUGAGAUACUUUCUCUCUGUGCAUAAAGGCCCCACAAGUGGCCCGACCCUCUUUGGGCCUGGGCUUUGAGGAUUUCCCGCACUGAUCAUGGCGUCCCGUUGCUUUCUCCCCCCUGCCCUGGCUUUAGUUAGAGUUAUCCUGUGGUCAUAGAAUAGGGCAGAGUUAACUGGUCACCAUGGGAUUGUACCCUCCUUGCAAGUCUUACUGUGCUCAGUGUCUUGAUUGACUCUAUCUCAUUGGGCUGAGUGGAGACAGAAAACUGGACCUGCAUUGGCAACCUCUCUGCCCUGGCCUGCAGCUGUUCUGUGCUGGGCCUGGGGAGACCAGGGACACCUAUCUGCUGGCUGACACAGGAAAGGGAGUAAACACUGGGAAGGGAGAUCCUGAACCCUUCUCUUGUGAUCCCACACAUAGGCUAAGCAGGUAGCCACCCAUACAAAAGUGCAGAAAGGUAGGGCAACUACAUAAUUUAUCAUUUCCAUAGGGUUGCUUCUGAGAGUGAAAAGGGGCACUAAAUAGUUAUGUUUGGGCAACAGGCAAGAACUGGGCACCUUGAUCUCAACUCAAUCAGCAGACAUUUCCUAAGCAGCUCUGUAACAGGCCUGUCCCUUCCAUAAUUGGAUACAGACAUGUCAACAAGUAAUGACAAGAUUGAGUUAGGUGGAACUCUAAUAAUGGAAGCAGGUGCAAAGGCAACAAAAAGAGGGUGAGGUUAGUCUCUGGGAGCAGGAGUGGGGGAGUAGUUGGGAAGCCUUCAAAGCAAGGGGCUUUGUAAGAUAAAUGUUUCAUAGGCAUAUAGAUGACGGAAGGGAUUCUAGAAGAGAACAGCAAAUGUAAAGUCACAGAUACCUGAAAAUACACAGCACAUGGGAAGGGUUGGAAGAAAAGUGGCAUUGAUGGUGAGCAAAGUGUGAAAUAGGAGUGUCAGGACUCAGGCUGGCUGAAUCCAGGUUGUGAUGCCACAUCAACAGGCUUGGACAUACUUGUUAGAGCAGGAGUGGCAAACUGUGGCCCUUGGGCCAAUUCAGCCUGCUGCCUGUUUUUGUGAAUCAAGUUUUAUUGGAACACAGCUGAGCUCAUUGAUUAUAUACCAUCUACGGCUGCUUUCACACAAUAACAACAGAGUUGAGUAGUUGCAAUAGAAACUAACUGUAGGGCCCACAAAGCCUGAAAUAUCUACUAUUUGUUUCUUUAUAGACAAAGGUUGGCAAGCCCUGGCUAAAAGCCAUGGUGGAAACAUUGAAGGACUUUAAGUAAUGAUGUAACUAUAUCUCUGAUUUAGAAAGAUCUCACCAUGUCCGGUGGGCAAUAGACUGGGGAAGGAAGGAAGGUGGGAGGCUACAGUGACAGGCUUUGAUUCAUGCAACCAACCUUUUCCGAGGGCCCACUUUAUGCCAGACACUGUGCCAGACUGGAAUGCAGAGAUGAGGUCACAGUCCACUCCUUAUGACCACUGCAAACAAGAAAAGGUCCUCCACAGAUGUACACUGGAUGAAAGUAUGAGACCAAAUGACUUAGGGUCUUGGCAAAUAAAGAUGGCACACUCAAGGGCUUCAGAGACUGAACACUCCAUCUCUCACUCCUACCCUCUCAUCUGCUGGUGUCAUCCAUUGGCUGCACUCCAUCAGACCCCCCAGUGGGGGACCCAGAUAAUGCAGCAAGUGGGGCCAUCUUCCUCCCCCACAGAGCCUGGAACAGAAGAGCCUUUUUGUGGUUCCUUUUAGUUUUGCCAAGCUUGGUGUGAUCACACUUUCACUAUUGAAUUGUUAGUAGCAUUACUGAAGUACUUGGACAACACAUCAUUAUUUAGAUAAAUAAAUAUUUAUU
rnacentral:lncRNA from 10 species